rnacentral:rRNA from 1 species
CAGCAGCCGCGGGAAAACGAAGGGGGCUAGCGUUGUUCGGAUUUACUGGGCGUAAAGCGCACGUAGGCGGACUUUUAAGUCAGGGGUGAAAUCCCGGGGCUCAACCCCGGAACUGCCUUUGAUACUGGAAGUCUUGAGUAUGGUAGAGGUGAGUGGAAUUCCGAGUGUAGAGGUGAAAUUCGUAGAUAUUCGGAGGAACACCAGUGGCGAAGGCGGCUCACUGGACCAUUACUGACGCUGAGGUGCGAAAGCGUGGGGAGCAAACAGGAUUAGAUACCCCAGUAGUCCCUGUCUCUUAUAA